GAGUGGGGAGGAGAGAGGGACAGAGAGCCUGCUUGCUUUAAAGGAGCAAAGCGGGAGAGGGGAGGAGCCGCUUACACGAGUGUAAGCGGGUCCUGUCCGGAUGGUUCCUUUAAAGCAAGCAGGCUCUCUGUCCCUCUUUCCUCCCCACUCA
rnacentral:miRNA from 1 species